GAUGAACGCUGGCGGCGUGCCUAAUACAUGCAAGUCGAGCGAACAGACGAGGAGCUUGCUCCUCUGACGUUAGCGGCGGACGGGUGAGUAACACGUGGAUAACCUCCCUAUAAGACUGGUAUAACUUCGGGAAACCGGAGCUAAUACCGGAUAAUAUAUUGAACCGCAUGGUUCAAUAGUGAAAGACGGUUUUGCUGUCACUUAUAGAUGGAUCCGCGCCGCAUUAGCUAGUUGGUAAGGUAACGGCUUACCAAGGCAACGAUGCGUAGCCGACCUGAGAGGGUGAUCGGCCACACGGGAACUGAGACACGGUCCAGACUCCUACGGGAGGCAGCAGUAGGGAAUGUUCCGCAAUGGGCGAAAGCCUGACGGAGCAACGCCGCGUGAGUGAUGAAGGUCUUCGGAGCGUAAAACUCUGUUAUGAGGGAAGAACAAAUGUGUAAGUAACUAUGCACGGCUUGACGGUACCUAAUCAGAAAGCCACGGCUAACUACGUG
rnacentral:rRNA from 1 species